AUUGAACGCUGGCGGCAGGAGGGACACAGGCAAGUCGAACGGCAGCGCGGGCUUCGGCCUGGCGGCGAGUGGCGAACGGGUGAGUAAUACAUCGGAACGUGCCCAGUAGUGGGGGAUAGCUCGGCGAAAGCCGGAUUAAUACCGCAUACGACCUGAGGGUGAAAGCGGGGGAUCUUCGGACCUCGCGCUAUUGGAGCGGCCGAUGGCAGAUUAGCUAGUUGGGGGGGUAAAGGCCUACCAAGGCGACGAUCUGUAGCUGGUCUGAGAGGACGACCAGCCACACUGUGACUGAGACACGGCCCAGACUCCUACGGGAGGCAGCAGUGGGGAAUUUUGGACCAUGGGCGAAAGCCUGAUCCAGCAAUGCCGCGUGUGUGCUGCAGGCCUUCGGGUUGUAACGCACUUUUGGCGGGAACGAAAAGGACUGUGCCAAUACCACGGUUCGAUGACGGUACCCGCAGACUAAGCACCGGCUCCCUACGUG
rnacentral:rRNA from 1 species